rnacentral:rRNA from 1 species
CAGUCGCCGCGGUAAUACGGAGGGUGCAAGCGUUAAUCGGAAUUACUGGGCGUAAAGCGCACGCAGGCGGUCUGUCAAGUCAGAUGUGAAAUCCCCGGGCUUAACCUGGGAACUGCAUUUGAAACUGGCAGGCUAGAGUCUUGUAGAGGGGGGUAGAAUUCCAGGUGUAGCGGUGAAAUGCGUAGAGAUCUGGAGGAAUACCGGUGGCGAAGGCGGCCCCCUGGACAAAGACUGACGCUCAGGUGCGAAAGCGUGGGGAGCAAACAGGAUUAGAGACCCGUGUAGUCCCUGUCUCUUAUAC